UAUGGAUGAGUUACCGGAUGCCAUUCUACGACAUGGGCAUGAAUAAGUCAUGAUGGUACGGAGUUGAGAGAGCGAUGGUAAUUGCAUUCAAGAAUGUUGUCCAGGAGGAUCUGAGGAACUUACUGGGAAGAUACUUUAGCAUAGGGUGUGAGCUGUUAUUUAUGGAUGAGUUACCGGAUGCCAUUCUACGACAUGGGCAUGAAUAAGGGCAUGGUGGCCAGAUCUGAGGGCGCGCGAGCUCUUCUGCACCACUCCUCACGCACAACUGAUGGUACCGAUUAGGUGGCUCGCCUUCUGGCACCACUCCUCGCGCACAACUGAUGUCAUUAGAUCCAAGACAUGGAGACCAGACCAGAGCGGCACGCGCUCAGUUGUGUUGUGGUCGAUGGGCUAUGGCGCCAGGGCUUGUGUCGUGGUUGGGCCAUCAGCCAGCACUGCUGAUGGGUGGAGAUUUGCGAGUGUUGGUUGGUCACUCUACGGUGAGACGAGACAUGAAGAUAGUGAGAGAGCUUGUCAGGGGAUGAAUUUCUGUGUUGCAUGUACUUUCUUUCUUGGCAAAUGUAGCGUGAAUUUUUUGGGGCAGCACUAAUUUUUUAGAGUUUCAGUUCUACUUGUGUGACUCGAGUGAUGGUGAUGGUGAGAGUUGUAACAUUAUCAAAAAAAAUGUCUUCUAUUUUGUAUGAUAUUCUUGUGUUUUUAUUUA